UUGAAGUUUGGGUUUGCCACAUUCUUAUGUUGUUAUGUUGAGCUGUUUGGAAGGAGUCUUAAGUUCUCAUUAGAAUGAGAAAAUAUUUAAAUGUUUAAAUGGUGCAGCUGUUAUCUAGCCUUGAAAUAGAAGCAGCUCUUGGAAAGAAAUAUUCUGAACAUGCCUUGACAAACAUAAACCUGCUCGUUUUAUACAGGAGUUCAUCGUAUGCUCGAGGCACAUAGUGAGGCAAAACCAACUCUUUUGCACAGCCUAGAAGAAAAAAAUGCAGCUCCGUUGUGGUGGGCCAGACGAGCUGCGGUCCUUCAGCCUGCAGUUCGGGGAUGUUCUCUUUUCCCCGAAAAAGAUUGCAGAAGCGAUAGAAAAGUGCAGAAACGCUGCGUUCCAGGCCGUGGAGUCAGCACGUCGGGAAGGGGUCGGCGUCCGCCCCUGCCCAGCCCGACUUCUCUGCGUGACCCGCGGCUGCCGAGCCCCCGCGGCCCAGGGACCCGCUGCCCCCAGGUGAGGCGAGGGGCUGGGGCGGCGGAGGCCGGUCGUCCCCAGGAGCCGAGCGCUGCUGCGGGGCUCUGCGUUCUGCCCGCAGAGGGCUCCCUCCUUCCUUUGGCCGAAGCCAGCCCAAAAGCAGCAGGAAAAGAGAGGAGAUGUCGCCCGUUGGCGCAAGCUGGUGAAGAGCCCUCCGCGCUGUGUCAUUCCCGCAGUGUUCUCUGGCUGUGGGUAGGCGCUGGGAAGAUGAGUGGGAAAAGUUUCUUUACGUGAUAAUACCUCCCUUCCUUCCCUGUAUCUUUUAAGAAGUUGGAGUGUUUCUGGCACUAAUUCUGUGUUUUGCUUUUUACUGGUUAAAAUUCUAGCAGCCGGUUCAGGCUGGGGCGCAGCUGUCCGGUGCCAGAUCUCUGGGGAAUGGGCAGCGGCAGUCAUUUGGGAGUGCAAAAAGACUUUAAAAUUGGAGACAGGAAAGAAGUCACGCGUGUACAGGGUGGGACUAAGCAAGUAUAGGUUAGAAUAAUAAUCUUUUUGCAUCUCUUAGUCAAGAUUAAAAAAAUCUGAAGCCUUGUUUCUCUUUAUAGAAGACGUCAAAGCUGUUUGUGUGUGUGUUUAUCACGCUGUAAGAGAUGCCUCUCUUUUAGUCUACAGCCCAGUCCCUUUACAAAACCAGGUUCUGGUGUCAGUGUGAGGAAAGGAGAAAAAAAUCUUAACAAUAGACCAGAAGGCACUUCAGGCUUGCUGCAUAAUUAAUUAUAGUCAUUUAAAGUCUUGUGCAAAGUUUAUGCUUGAAGAAGUUCUAAGUUAUAAUUAAGCCAAGCUGCUAAGGAUGGAUCUAAUUGCUGGGUUACAGACAGGCGCAGGUAACGCGCGUUGGGCCACUGACAUCAGGGAUUUCUCCCAGUUGCUUUCUGUUGGUGCAGCCGAUGCCACGCCGCUGUGCCAGCCGCUGGAAUGACCAGCAUGGGGUGGACCAUGGAUGCACGUCGGGAUUUUUCCCUGACAGUCGGAGCUGGAGAAAUGCCGUUGGGCCCUAAAGGUACCGUGUCCUCGGUGGUGGCUCCCGAAGGAGCCCCUGGAGCAGAGCUGCUGCAGCAGCGCUGCCGUGGGACCCCUGCUGGGAGGGACGCGGGGCGGUGAAUUCCAUGCGGAAGUGGCUCUACCAGCUCCCCCCUUCUGUCCUGUCAGACACCUCAAGCCUCCCUGUUUCUGAAGGAACGAGCGUUGCAGCUGGGGCAAAGGUCAAAUUCAGCAGCGCAGGCUUUGCUGUUGUGGCAGUGAGUCUGCUUUUGAAAACAGAAUGUACUCCUCUCCCUCUCUCUGUCCCACCAUCAGUGGAUUUUCAUGUCUUCAAAACGUUAGAAACAUCAAAUCAUGCACGGACAGACCUUCCUCUUACCAGUGCAUGCAAUCAGCUUUAGAUCUGUAGCAAUGGAUGAGGACACAGAGGUAAACACCGAACCCUAGACGUCCGUUAUUAAGGUUACAUUUAAGUCUAAUACAGUGUGUUUGGAAGCCACGGGUUGAACCACUGAAACAAUGUUCCAGCUACACGCUGCAUUGUAUUCUAACCAGAAGAUUAUGGGGAGAGCAUUUCAAGUGCUUGGUUUUGGACUGACGUUAAAACCUUUGAAAAAUGGUUUAAUCUAGUCCGUCCGUCCGUCUUCCCCGCCCCCAUUAUGUUCUUCCCCCUGGAAAUGUUUAUAAGGCUGGGUUUUGCUUUAACUUUAGUAUCUCAACUUGUGUCUUGGUUUUGUCUGCUUUCUAAGGUAAAGAAAUUAUGGAUCUGUAUUCUCAGCCUUAAGCCCCUUUGUGACUGGUGGCUUUGGCUUUGUUAUUUAUUUGGCGAUGCUAGUGAGAGAUCGGAAAGUGGCUGUUUUCUGUAGGGUGAAAGAGACAGAGAGGGGAUCCAAGCAAUUUAGUAUUUUUUACUUCGAAGUAGUUUAAGGAGAGGUUAAUGAAUAAAUCCUAAUACAAAUACUAAUGAAAACUGUUCAUUUCUUCCCCCUUCUAGUAAUCACCUUUUGUAAUGGGAAGAUAUGUUGCAGAGGCCUGCCCCUACCAUUAGAAAACUGUCUUCUAAUUUUUUCUUAUUAAUGAAAUGUUAAGUGAAGGAGCUAUUCCCAAACAGCCCUUGGCCAAGCCAGGAUGUGCAUUAGCGGGCUAAUGGCGCUGCUGCGGGUGUGUGUCUGACGGCACCCCUGGGAGCUGCCCCCCGCGCUGGGGCUCUUAGCGCCGGCCCCGCCAAAGUGCUGCUGCUCCCGCAGACCGCUCCCCCGGCCGGGCUCUGGCUGCUCUCGCUUCCAGCGCGUAGAACUGCAACUUCCGUCCCUGCUCUUCUGUGAAGAAUUAAAACAGAAAGGCAAAAAGCCAUCACACUUGUAUAAAAAAUUUAAACUAAUCGGUCUUUCAGUCUUCACUGUAACACGUAGAGAACGUGGGGUUUUAGUGCUGCCUGCCUACAUCUUGCGCUGAUGGCAGCGGAGUCUUGGAGCCGGCUGACAUAAAUCCGCUCAUAAAUGGAACUACUGGGACAUGGAGUCUGUGGUGACGGGUGUGCGUGUGCCCGUGGCGCGGGCAGGAGCCGGCGGCCAGCGGGAGCGGGGCUGAGCCGCUCGGGGCUCCGGGCAAGGCUGGGGAGCUGCAGUGUCGGGGGAAGCCGGGGCUGGGCGGGUGGAGGGCAGAGCACCGGGGCUGUGCUUGGCCAGAGGAACGGCGUCAGAAGAACCGCAGGCUGCGAAGCGCUGGCGAGGGGCUGGGUGCGGGAAGCAGCACCGAGAGGUUCUCACAAGGAGCUGUUGUUUGGUUGCUCAGAUUGUAUCAGCGCUCUGGCUAUUGAGAGGGAUUUGGCCUUUGGGUUUUGCUUUCAGCUUUAUUUAUUUUUGCCUGUUCUCAAUUCUCUUUGUGAAUACCAAUAUUCUGAGUCACUCAGAACGAUUUCUGCCUUCAUCAGAGACUCCUUCCAGCUGCCUUCAGCCCGCAGGCUGCUGCCUCCCCCCGCAGCGUGCUGCACGCGUUUGGCGCUCGGUGUCCCGGCACUCCUCACCUCCCGGGGCUCCGGCACUUGGGUAUCUUCUGUGAUUCUAUGAUCUUCAACCAUAUUAAUCUAUAUUGUACCUUUGGUUCUUUGCACGGCUUGGUUUCUUCACCUGGCCUGUCCCUGCUACUUCUGCAACACGUUUCCAAGCAUUUGAGGUACGGUGUGAGGCCACGGUUUAUCUGUCCCCCGCCUCAGCGGCUCUGCUGAGAGCUGGCGGACGAAGGGCUGACACCAGAACACCGGCCAUCCGCACCCUGUAGUCUGUUUCUCUUACACUGCGUCCUUCCCUGUCACCCUGGGUAAACCCGCUUACAUCUUUGCCUCUUUGUUUCCUUGAUAUAUAUUGGUUUUUAAAUAGUCUAUGGUAUUUACACCAGACAAGCAGGACUAUGUUUCUAAAAACCAAAAUUAAAAGAUGCGAUAUAAAAAAAAGAAGGAAUUGCGUAGUUCUUUAAUGGGUAUUCCUACGUGAAUUGCUGAGCUCUGUGGCGCUCUAAAGUUUGUGCCUAAGAAAUUCUACAAAUCAAUAAAAGGAAAAUAACCUGGAAAGCAGGAUGGGUCUCUUAUUACAGCACUAACUGUCGAUACUGUAGAUGUCUUAAUGCUAGUUAAUGACUGUCCCUAAUGGUAUUCAAACAAUGUACAUUUGCUUUAGCUGUUUUCAAAGUCCAGAUGAGCUGCUCAGAGCUCUCUUAAUGAUGGGAAUUAUUUAACGCUCAUUUGUAUGCAGUAUGCUCCUGCUUUGAAAGUGCUUCACAGAAUUCAAGCCAAAUUCAGCCCUGCAGCUCCACUGAAGUCAGUGCUUGUCUGUGCAUCUGUUGGUCGCUUUUCUUUUGGUUUUUGCUUGAAGAGUUAACUUCUUGUAGUGUUGAUUUUAUUUUUUUUAAAGGUAAUAUAUCUGCAAGGGGUUUUUAGCUGCCAUUCUCUCCUCCCAGUAAAGGAGCUGUAAGUACAAAUGUAGUUCUGUUGGUUGUCACGUCUCCCUCUUAACCCCUGCAAAAGGAGGACAGGCUGAGCAGAAUAUAAUUUAUUUGUGUUCUUUUCUUUCCUCUACUUCGCACCUCCUAAGCACGGUUUUGGUGAUAUCUGGCACUUCUCCUAAAAAUCAUCCUGCAAAGAAUCUCUGCCAUCUGAUGUAUGCAAGUGACUGAGUUCCUCCCCGUGGCCCAUUUCUGGAGUAACACAGCGUGAACUGAUGGAGGCCCAAGUCGUGCGCGAUCCUGCAGGUUAGUUACGCUCGGUACAGUGAUGCCAGGAUGCGCUGUCUUAACGGCCGAGAGCAGCACGGCACGGCAGCCUGAUCCGCUAUUUUGAGUUCAAGUGGCUGCUGAAAGGUGCAACAGACGUUCUUGGUUCAGGCAUAUAGUAAUUUUUUAGUGUUGGGCUUCAUAACCAUAAUAUUCUUGUAAUCUUUAACUCAUCCCAACUAUGUUUUUUACACACACAUUGAAAGAAAAUAAAAAAUCCUCUGCUAUCAUAUCAUUCACUCCCCUGUGCAAUGGGUAGGGGCGUGAUUUUCAGCUUACAGCACAGACCCACAACCAUCUACUGCCUGCACGGAGUAAGUGGGAGUAACGGGAACGCAUCCUUUCUAGAUGUGUGUGUCGCCAGAAUGGGCAGAGACGUUUCUUGUCAGCUGUGAGAUAUUCGCUGGCAGCACAGGGAGGAGUGCUGAGACGUGGGAAUGAUGGGUUCCUUUCCAAGCUCCGCAGCGGGUGAAUCUGGAUGCCCUGUUGUAUAUAAUAUCACUAUCGUACACGGCUGCCUCCCCUCUCCCUCCCCGCAGCACUGUCCUCCGCUCCUGCCUGUGCUCAUCUGGGUGCUCUCUGCCGCGCAGCUCCCUCCGCUCCCUCUGGCCGAUCUCUCCCUCUCCUGCAGGGAUGGACGCGGCCCACAGCCCCCGCGGGACUCGGGGGUGGCCCUGGGGAGCCUCUAAGGGUGAAUGCGGAGCAGGGAAAAGCAACCUCCCCUCUCCUGGGGGCUUGUGGCUGGUCAGCGUGUGCCUGGCUGCCCGGCAGACAGCUCAGAGAGGCCCGACUUCUCCACGGCCUGUGCUGUUUCCCUCUUCGCUGUGUCUGGGUGAUGUAUUCUCUGCCUGUGGUUUUAAUAAAUAUCUUUCAUAGCUACUUUCUGCUUCAGUCCCCCUUGGGAUAGCUCUUUCCAACUCGUCUGCCCCAGCGUGCUGAAGAUGCCGAGCCCGAGUGCCUGGAACAGAGGAGAGAGAACUUUCUGCAGAGCAUCUGAGACAGCUUUAACGCCAGCCGUAUCUCCGUGAAGCUGCUGUGUGUUACACAGGCCUCACCUGCAGCGAGAAGGUGGCCGUUGUUGGGCUGCUGGAGCCUUAUCCUGGGGCCGCGGAGCUGCGGCGGGAGCAGCCGCUCUGACCCCGCACCGUCGGGAGCCCGGGUUGCCCCGGCCACCGAGCUGCCCCUGACGCUGAAGCUGCUUUGGGCUCUUGCGGGGGGCCAACGUGACUCCAGAAGACGACGAGUGAAAAGAAAGAGGCCUGGUUACUCCCCGAGCGAUAGCGACAGCGUGACCCCCGCGAUUAGCCGGGCUGCUGCCCUUCGAGCCAGGGCCUCUGUCUGUCUCGGGGCGGAGGGAGAGGAGGGACAGCGUUCCUGUAAGUGGGUUAGAGCAAUUACUGAGGUCUCUUACAGCAAAUGAAGUUGUCAGCGUGAGUCACAUUCCCUUUUUUUUCCUCACUGCCAAGUUUUAGGCAGAAACCAGACAGAGGGGGGAGAAAAAAAAAGGGAAAAGCAACAAUGGGGAAAAGUUGAACUGAAACAACCCUUCGUUCGGGGUAUUGUUUGACGUUUUAGUUCUGAUUGUACAGAGAGAUAAAGGGUCUAUAAAUAUCCUGUCUGCUGAAAUUCCUUAUCACAGCAUCGCCUGUCAGCUGAACAAAUAGGUUAGGUUCUCUGUAAUUACGUAUGUAAAUACAGAAUCAGUGAUUAUAUCCCGGCGUGGCGUGGCGGCCGGGUGGCUGGGAGGGACGUUAACCUCUGCUGGGGGGUGCCGGGGGUGCCCCGGCCCCAGGGCAGCGAGUGGCGCCUCCAGCUGCUGCCGCGGCCUCGGGCGAGCGCCAGCCGGGCUGAAAUGGGCCCGCAGCCGUUUCUCUGGCUGACUGGGCGAGAUAAAAGCAGCUUCUGACACUUUCUGAAACUAUCCGAGCAUUGAGCUCUGUUUAACAAACGGCUGGAAGCUUUUCUGCUCCGCUUUGGAGCUUUUAAUGAAGCAUUGUGAUUGCCAUUGUGGUCAAUUGUUUGACACUUUUAUUAUUGCUGGUAUGCAGAGCGUUUUUUAAUGUUUGACAGCUGGAGAAAGAAGUAUUUUGUGCAUUCAAACUUUUAGCACAAAGCUGCUGUUUUCCGUUCUGCCUUUGUCUUUUAUUCUUGCUGAUGCAAAUCAACGAAAGACAGAACUGAUUAAAUUACGUUUGUUUACUUUUUCCUUGAUGAUAAUAAGACACAGCCUGCCUUUCAUAAAAGACAGAAAUAGAGGAUGUGAAUGUUCCUACAGUAUUUCUAGAAGGUUGGUUUUUUUUUCCCCCCCUUACAAUAUAAAGCCCUUUAUUUGUUUCUUAUGUCUUGAUUUAUCAGAUGAUGCGCUACCCCUGAUGUAUGUGGAACAAGAAUAGGGCAACAAACGACAGUUUGCAAUGGAUUCCAUUUGCAGAGCUGCUAUCUUGCUAUUUCUGGUAAUUCAACAGUGUAAGUGAUGAGACCACAUCACAAACCAAACACAGCGAGAUGCUUCCAUCCUUGGCGGUGGGGCUGCCUCUGCUCAUCGCUGCAGCUGCACAGAAAUUCCCUCAUCGCAGGCUUUAGGUUGAUUCACGCGCGGCUGUUACGGGGCGCUGGCUUCGGCACGCUGGUACGACACUGGGGAGAAACAAGCACGGAGAGGCAGGGCUGCAGAAAUAGGAUACCCGUGAUUGUUUUGCACAGAGAAGAGCGCAGCAAAGGAUGGCAAAGGCGAAAGAAGAGUCUGAAGGCUUCUCAGCAGUGUAGUCAAAGCUCCCUCUUUGGCAGAUGCGACCGGACUUAGGGAGUGAUCCCGCAUGGCAGCGGAGCCAGAUCUAACGGACUGCCAGUGUUAAAAAGGACACGUCUGCUCCUGGCUCCCCUUGUGCAGGUCUGGGGCUCGUCAGCCCUUUGAGCUCCUGCAGCUCGACAAACUGUAAGAAAAUGAAUUCAGCAAAAAAUAUAUCAGGCCAGAGAAGGAGAGUCGGGCGCUGUGAGAACGGAGACUGGAACCGCAAUGAGUGGGAGAAAUACCAACGGCAGACUUUUGGUGGAUGUGGGGUGUGCUGGGGGACGCUUUGCUGCUGUUCGGCCCCGAAGGUACACAUUUCUCCAGAUUGGGAUUUGAUAAGAGGACAGCUGCUGCAUUUUUAUUAUCUGUGACAAGCAGCAGUAAAAGCUGCUCGGAGUUCAUGAUGGAAAUGUGUCCCUAUAUUGGCAUUUAUCCAGCUGCACUUCCCAAAGGAUUUCCAGGCCAGGGGUUCGGUUUGGCUCUGUCAACAUCAGUGGGAAAUGAGACAUCAUUGAAACGCCAGUGGAGAUGCAGGAGGCUGAUAGAUGCUCACAGCAAUUUUGUGUCACUUGUACAAAACCCAGAGACCCGGUAGUGCAGUGAGAUAAACGUAGCGCUUGGUUACAAUGGAUGUCUUGCAGUUACAAAAGGCAUCUCUUCCCAUUAGGCUCUGCAUAUCUGGAGUAAUAACCACCAUAUGGAAGCAAUCAAUGGUAUCAGAAAUACAGCGAUCAAGAGACUGAUAUUUUGUAAAAACUUAACAGCCUUCCAGUGUAUAAAGCUUCGGCACAAGAAAACAGCGGUCACUGGAGCAAGGUCACGUCCUCGCACGGCACUCUCGCGUUCUCUAUGAAUGUUGACCAUCCUUAUGGGUAUUUUUUUAUCAGCCCUGCAAAAAAAAACCCCUUUUUAUCUGGUGGUUCAGUUCUCUUAUCGUCCAGAGCUUGUUUACUGAAUUUUAAGUCUUGGGCGAGAUGGAGCAAGCUCAUGAGGAGUAGCUGGUUUUCAGGAGAUACCAGCUCCCGAUAACCGAGGACAAGUAAAGCACACAACAAUAUCGAAAUCACUCAGUUUUAUUGCAGCUGACUGAGACAGAGUGUGCUUUGAGGCUGGGAAAUUUCCAUUACUGGAGUGCGGGACAGUGCCUGGGUACUGCUGCUACUGCAGCUGAAAAAUAAAAGCAAGUUAAUUUUAUAGGGAGAGCAACAAAAUGUCAGUAUAUUAAUUAAAUUGUUAG